CAGAUAAUAUAAAAAGUAGAUUAAGUUUCUGGGUUUUGAUUUAUAUGAUCCUAACCUCUCUUGUAGGGAUGAUCUGAUUGUAUGACUACUUCACGCCAGCUUUCCUGUUUCACUGGGACAUCAUCUCUUAGGAGGGGAUCUACUUCAAGGAUGGUGCAUUGUCAUGCCUCAACCCGAUAAAUAUUGAGUUUACAGUUUGGUUUCUGCUCUCAAUUCUCUCUUGGUUUCUUCUUGAUCGUUCUAGACUUGAUGCCUGCUCUGAUUUUCCAACCACAUGUACUCCAAGUAACACCUCUCCCUCUCAGGCUAAAUGUUUUGCUCUGCAAACAAAGCAAAACUCCGAAGGAGAUGAUCACUUGCUUACACCAAUAAUUAGGCUAUUAAUGUCAACUUUGUUCGACCUAACUGGUGGUUCUAACUGGUAUGAAUGUCAAUUCCUUUCAGGCUUUCUGAACUUAUAUAAGCAAGAGCUCUAGGUUCCUUUCGCCUUCAAGAUGGCUCUGCACUUUCUAGGCCUUAACCAUCCAACCCUCCUUUCCAUGCCUCUUUUGAUUCAUCUGGGAUGGUUUCAAUUCUCUUGACUAACCCUGCAGUCAGUUGAACGGAGUUCCAUAUUGUUAUGUUAGUAGCUUUGAUUCUUUAUGAAUUCCAGAUACAUACAGCGUCUUGAGAUGAUAGCUAAUGGCCCUGAUGGUUUGUUUGUACAAAAUAAUAAUAUUCUUUUUGGUUGAGUGCAGAUUAGAAAUAAACAUUCCUUUCUUUCAGUCUCAUGGUUAUCUUUCUGUUUUUCCAUGCAUUACUAGUAAUUAAUAGUCCUCAUCUUUGAUGCCAUUCAGCUAAUGAGGGUCCAGAAACAAAGAAAUUGUCGUCUGAAGCCCGUCAUCAUCAAUCAGCCGCACACAGAACUUGCCAUACAUUCCAGGGUCGGAGUUCCCCAUAGCCAACACCUCUUCAAGGAAUUCAAAGCCACUGAAGAAUACGUUUUUGGCAGAUGAUUCUUUUUGUCCUUUCAAGGAUCAACCUAAGUCUCAAAAGUUCAUAUCCUAUUUAUCCUGGCUAUUUUUCCCAUUCUUGAAUAGAGAGGCUACAACCUAAGUUCAUAGGGGAUCUCACUGCAGGACUCAACAUUGCAAUCUCUGCAUUCCUCAGACGCCAACCUUGUACCACUAUUGGUUUAUGCCUUCAUAGGCAAUUUAAAGACUCAACUACAUGACCGGUUUGUUAUGUUGUAUCUCUCGUUGGGAACUCAAAUUCAGGAAGAGAUUGACCCACAAAAAAUGCAGCUGAGUUUUGGUGGCUUGCAUUGGCAGAUACAUUUUUUGCUGGACCACCCAAGCCACACUUGGGUUUCUAAGGCAAUCAACACAUGCAUCUGUAAGUGCUUUGCUCAGCAGUACUCGGCCUCCUUUCUGCAAUCCCUGCAAUAUUAGUAGGGCUCAUACAGAGGAAGGAAGGGACUGAGAGUGAGAGUGAGAGCCUCCUUUAUAUGACCUUAGGUUUUCUUUAUAUUAUUGUUCCAGCCCUUUUAAAGGCCUCCAGCUUUCAGUUUUCUAUGAUAAAACAAUGGUGGUUUGUCUUAGUUCUCAGAUUGGAUCAAUUUCUUAUCCCAUGCUGCUACUCCUGGUUUUAUGCAUGAUCUGCCAUGAAAAUUGCCUUCCAACAGCUCGAAGGUCUUCUUGGCAUCCAGAAGUACAUACAGAAAACUGAUUAUUUCUGUAAUGCGCUCAGCAUGGGGCUCAGUUCAUCAUGAAUGAAACUGGCAGACUCUAGUCACCAGGGCGAGCUUUUGGGGUUUCCUUCUAUUUGCAAAGUACACUAUAAGAGUCUCUAAUUUCGACCACUGUACACAAAAUUUCUGUAGGAGUGGUAAAGGAUCAGGAUAUCUGCUACCUUAAAAGUCUUAUUUGUCUAGUAUAUGUGAUUGGCCUAAUUGCCUUGAAUAUGUUCUCACCUAUUGUUAUAGUAGGUUUCCAUAUCCUUUGCCAAAAUCCUCCUACAAAGUUACAAGGCCAUGGAGUGCAAUUCUUGGGAGGCUCCCUGGAACAACUGUUAACAGGAACAUCCAACGAUAUCCAGAGGCAACCAAUAAGACUCCAGGCUUUGUUAAGUGUGAGGAUUGAUUCUGCAAAUACUUUUCCAAUUUUAACUUCAUCAAGGAAGGUUGCGGAUCCUUUUAGCCUUCCUGGAUAUUGAGAUGGCUGACUGAUGAGGGAAUAAAAGUUGAAACCAGCAAACCUACCAAGAGCAUAGUUUUUUUGUCUAACACCGGUGGCAUCCAUGCUUUGGGAAUUACACAGAAGUCUUCUGAGGAAUACACCUAUACUAAAGUCACAAUAUGUUAUGAAAUCUACUUCAUAAAAAAACAUCAUAUACUCUUUUAGAAGUAAUUCAUGCUACUAUAUAUGGUACCUGACUAGAGAUUACCUGAAUGGAAGUCCCCAUUUUGAUGUGCAGUUAGUUCCGGCAAAUCCUGCGCCAAGUGGUUAUUGACAAGUUACAUACAUCCAAGU